UUCAACAAGGCUUCACUCAAUUAAUCAAGUUAUCAAAAAGGGAAAUCAGUUGAUAAUAAAAUAAGCCAUGUCAUAUGAGAAGGUGACAGGUGUAAUAUCUUGUUCAGCUCUUUAUCACAUCUACUUUGAAGUUGUUCUUAUCUAUGAAAUUGCCCACCAAACAGCAAGAAUUAAGAUAUCCACAAUCUCAUAACCUGAGAAAAAUUACACAUUUAGACAGUACCUUCUAUAGAUCAAUUAUUGCUAACAUCUAGAUCUUCAAGGGAGAGAGAGAGCAAACAUCAUGAACAGCAAAUAUAUGCACCUUGUUAUAACAACGUGGAUUUUGACAUCAACUUUAAGUAGUUGUUCUGUUCUUCCAUUUUUCCCAAUAGCUGAAGACCAUCAAUGCUCUGACAAUAAAGACUGUGAAAAAGAUCAUUGCUGUGUUGCUGUUGAUGCAUUCUUCUUCCCAUUACCAACUACAGUCACAUGGAAAUGUAUGCCUCUGGGAGAAGAAGGAAAUCGAUGUAAUAGUCUAAG